ACUAGGUAAGUUAAUAUAAUUCUAAUGAAGUAAUCAUUUUAAUUUUUACAUGCUUCUGUUGUUUUUGAUAACUGUACGUAAAUAACAACAACAGUUUUUUCAGACAAGCUGGAAAUACCACCAUUAAUCACUGAAGAUACUCCCGCUGAUUUUGAAGAACUUACGGUGAUUGUUUUUGAAAGUGAGGCGCUUUGCCAUAACAUGUUGCAAAGACUUGAAACAAAUACAAAAAAUAUGUGCGAAACAAAAGAAAUUUUAAAGGAAACGAGUGAACAAAUCUCCAAUAUGAAAACGUCAUCAAAUGUGACAAAUCAAAGAGAAAACAGUAAUAGAAGAUAUGCCGCCAAGACCACAGAUAAACAAAUUUUGAGGAAUUAGAAGAUUAUCUCUGCCUACUACAACAACCAGGUUUCUUUGAACUGCUAUUGUCCCAGAUAGGUGGUAACGGGAAAAAGAACAAUGUGGGGCGUGU